rnacentral:lncRNA from 1 species
AUCUGAAUUUGUCAGGUGUUUGUGAUUGUUGUCACAGAACCAUGAUCAAGGUGCUCCUACUACUGCUGCUACUCAGCGCCCUGGCUACCCUGGCGGUGGCAGGCCCUCUGUUUGGAGGACUGUUUGGCGGACUCAGGUAUGGAGGUGGCUGGUAUGGAGGUGGACGUGGCUGUUACUACUGCUUUCCUUUCUUCGGCGACUUCGACUAGCGAUUUAACGCACACUGAGAUUCCCAGAUGGUGUUCUCAACUGAAGUCAACAAACUAAGCAGCUGUCAUUAGAUGUAACAGCAAUAAACUAAUUGUCGAGCAAACA